GAUGAACGCUGGCGGCGUGCCUAAUACAUGCAAGUCGAGCGAACGGACGAGAAGCUUGCUUCUCUGAUGUUAGCGGCGGACGGGUGAGUAACACGUGGAUAACCUACCUAUAAGACUGGGAUAACUUCGGGAAGCCGGAGCUAAUACCGGAUGAUAUUUUGAACCGCAUGGUUCAAAAGUGAAAGACGGUCUUGCUGUCACUUAUAGAUGGAUCCGCGCUGCAUUAGCUAGUUGGUAAGGUAACGGCUUACCAAGGCAACGAUGCAUAGCCGACCGGAGAGGGUGAUCGGCCACACUGGAACUGAGACACGGUCCAGACUCCUACGGGAGGCAGCAGUAGGGAAUCUUCCGCAAUGGGCGAAAGCCUGACGGAGCAACGCCGCGUGAGUGAUGAAGGUCUUCGGAUCGUAAAACUCUGUUAUUAGGGAAGAACAUAUGUGUAAGUAACUGUGCACAUCUUGACGGUACCUAAUCAGAAAGCCACGGCUAACUACGUG
rnacentral:rRNA from 1 species